UACGUAGGGUGCAAGCGUUGUCCGGAAUUAUUGGGCGUAAAGAGCUCGUAGGCGGUCAGUCGCGUCUGCUGUGAAAACUCGGGGCUUAACUCCGGGCCUGCAGUGGGUACGGGCUGACUAGAGUGCGGUAGGGGAGACUGGAAUUCCUGGUGUAGCGGUGAAAUGCGCAGAUAUCAGGAGGAACACCGGUGGCGAAGGCGGGGUCUCUGGGGCCGUAACUGACGCUGAGGAGCGAAAAGCGUGGGGAGCGAACAGG
rnacentral:rRNA from 1 species